rnacentral:rRNA from 1 species
UACGAAGGGGGCUAGCGUUGCUCGGAAUCACUGGGCGUAAAGGGCGCGUAGGCGGCCUGAUCAGUCGGGGGUGAAAGCCUGUGGCUCAACCACAGAAUGGCCUUCGAUACUGUCGGGCUUGAGACCGGAAGAGGUAAGUGGAACUGCGAGUGUAGAGGUGAAAUUCGUAGAUAUUCGGAAGAACACCAGUGGCGAAGGCGACUCACUGGACACAUAUUGACGCUGAGGUGCGAAAGCGUGGGGAGCAAACAGG